AGUUAGUUUGCAAAGCAGUUUAUUAAUAUAGAUUUGUUUCUGAUUCGCUGAAGAGUUCAUGCCAGCAUUCCAUUAGUAACUAAUUCUGUCUUCUUCUGUUGUUCUAUUGAUUCUUUUCCGCUGAUGUCAGAAGAGCCUGACAAUAACCCAUCACGUCCCCGUGUAAGUGAUAUUGAGGCAUUCCUAGAGAAAUGAAAAACAGAAAUGUUUAUUUCAUAUCAAAUAUUUGUUUGUCCAUAUUCAUUAUUGAUGCUUUCUAAAUGAAUAUUUCACCCGAUAGAACAUACUCAGACAUCAGCUGACAGAAAGUCUUCUUGACAAACUGCAAGCGGCUUUGAGUCAACAACCAAUCAACUUGGAUUAUAUGGACUUUCUACACGCCAUGAUCUUAUUCUAUUUAGGUCAUUUUACGACCAGAGGCCGACAGAGGCACUGUACAACCUACAUGAACCUGUCCAAUGUGACCUUACUGCCAACUUGAUACCGGUUGUGAAACUGGAAAUGGAAACAUGAAAUUAUUGAGAAAGAAAAACCUGAAUAUUUGCGAGACACACACCUCCCAGUCCCUUGCAUUGCUAAAUGUCUGGGUGUGUCAGAAAGAACCACUUGCAGGAGAAUGCAAGAAUUUGGGUUAUCUGCAAGAGGAACAUACAGCACAAUGAGUGACCAAGAACUACACAAUGUUAUUUCUCGAAUAAAGCAACAGAUGCCAAAUGCAGGGUAUUGAAUGGUUAGGGGCCUUUUAGUGUCAAUGGGCAUCCACAAUCCAGUGGAAUAGACUGAUGGCUUCUAUGCAUCGAGUUGACGCUGCUGGGAUCCUCACAAGGCUGACAAACCUAGGAUGUGUCAUUCAAAAGAUGUUAUUCAGUCAGAGGCCCUCUCACCUUUGUCCAUGUCGAAAUGCAACAUUGUGAUAUUCGGUGGUGUGGCUGGUUACUCAAGGAAGAUUUUGUAUCUGGAUGCUGACACAAGCAACAAAGCAUCAACUGCAUUCUCACUCUUCUUGAGGGCAUCCCAGAUUCACCGUGUGAACUAGGGUUAGAGGUGAUCACGGAGUUGAGAAUGUGGAUGUGUGGAUUCAUGUUUGCCACUCGAGGAACAGGAAGGGCAAGCUUCAUCUCCGGGAAAGUGUCCACAAUCAGAGAAUAAAGCGCCUUUGGCGUGGCGUCUGGGCUGCAGUCACCAGCAAAUAUUAUGACGUUCUUCAUACUUUGGAGGAAGAUGGUUUCUUGAUGGAUGGAAUAACCAUCCUCUUCGAACAGAAGAGGGUUUCACUCCAGAACAGCUUUGGAACUCCAAGAUCCAGGCAUCGACUGGGAGUGUGCUGUACAGCAACUUGACACUCGUGAGGCACUUGUGGUUCCAGAAUGCGAACGCCCACUGAACAAUGAAGUUCUGGGAGAACUUCAAAGAAGGAUCAAUCCCCUUACAGAGUCUCAAACAUGUGGUCGAGACUUGUAUUUCCAGUUUUUAGAAGCUAUGCGAAACAGUGAAAAUCAUAACAUACCAUAAAGUAAUUUGGAAAAUAAGGCAUUUUAGGCAAUAUUAUGAACAAUGGAUCAAUUCUGCAUUGAGAAGAACUUUAAUUUAGAGGAGCAGCAUGUGACUGAAAUCAAAACAUUAUCAAAAUGUAUCAAAACAUUAACUACAUUUUCAUUUUCCCCAUUAAUAAAUUGAAGCUGGCAGUGAGGGGAGCAAUUUUAGCUCUUCCUAGACGAUUAUGAGCUUAGUUAACUAAUUUCAAAAUGUUUUACCGGAUUAUGUCAUCUUUAUUUUCCAAAGUGAUUUGCCUUGUGAAGCCACAGCUAAUAAUUUCAUCUCCACACAACAGCAGUGAUUGUGCAUCUUCACUGCUCUCCACCUUGUAAAUGAAUAUGAAAAUUAGACAAAGGCGCAUUGAACCUCAUAAAGUGGAUGAAAGACUGCCUUCUUGAGUUAAAGGUGGGACUCUGAAUCCGUCACAUCCUCCUUGCACAGUGAACUAUAAUUCACUUCACCACUGCAGAUGAACUGACAGCACCACUCUUUCAGGAAAGCAGGUGGUGGGCCACCUUGUGCAAUGCUCACAGCCACAACAAUUCUGUAGAUAACCUGAAAUUGUCGUACUUGGGAUUUUUUUCCAGGACUAUCAGCGCCUUCGAAGAACCUUUCCUCUAUCCCAUGAGUCAUUUCUAGAAAUAGAGAAAAGUAAAUUUUCUCAUUAAAGAUGCUACCAUUACUUACUUUUAGUAUUCUUUAAAAUGUGAUUCAUAUUCCGAGACUAUAACAUAGUACAACACAUUUUAUGAAGCGUAACUUUCCAAUUACUGACUAUUACUAAUCACAUCUGUCAGAAACUCCUUCUUCAGAGCACCAGUGUCUACACCCGCUUCUCCUAUAAAAACAAUCUUUAGAGCACUGGCACUAGAAUAUAAGGCAUGCACUUCAAUUCCAUAGGUAUAUUAACGUGGAUAAUAAUACAAUCACAAUUUACAAGUGCAUGCAUGUCCUGUUAAUCUGUAAUCGAAUGUACCCUUUUGAUUUAAUUGGUGGAUCAUCCCCAUGUCCUUCCUCCUCUAUUGGUGAACAAUGCUUUAUGUCAUCUAAACACAUGACGCAUGAAAUACAUUAACUGAUCAGUAAGACAACUAGUUGGUGAAAAUGAAUUACUACCUCUCUCCACAAAGGCCAGCACGGACAGAAAUGUCAUCACCUGGAAAUGCUUUGCAGCAAAUAGGGCAAGUAACCAGUACCUUAAAGAAAGACAGGGUGUCUAUGAAGAAUUUUAAAGUUGCGUUGUGUCACUGUUCAGCAGUGAUCCGAUUUGCUCAGUUGACUUGCAAUACAGAUGUUGUUAUAAGUCAACUGACAGUGAUCAGAAAACUAUUUGGUCUCACCUCAUCAAUUAUCACUGACUGUUCUCCCUCACAUUUCUUCACAUGCAUCGCAAGAACAUGUAGAGGCAUGACUUGAUUGCUCUGGUUUGCAUUUGUUUUUUGGCAUCUUUGCAAAGUGGUGAGAGUCCAGAGGUAGAGGAGUGGUGUCCAAGGUGUCUUGGAUUGGCACAAUAUAAAAAAUAGCUUUACCACCUCCUGACAUAGCUCGCAAAGCUUUCACGCUGUAACCCUCUGCUUCAGGAGGGAUGACCGUGAGUUUUUGUCGGCCACUGCCACCUGCAUAAUAUGUUGAGUCAACCAACGUUCAUUAAGGACAAAUAUAACAACAGAAACAAUUCACCACCUGUUGCUUUAUGUAGCAGCCAUCCACUAAGAAGCUGUUCCAUUUUUGGGAAAGCCUC